GACGAACGCUGGCGGCGUGCUUAACACAUGCCAGCCGAACGGUGAAGCGCCUUCCUUUUUGGUGGGUGUGGAUGAGUGGCGAACGGGUGAGUAACACGUGAGUAACCUGCCCCCUUCUUCUGGAUAACCGCAUGAAAGUGUGGCUAAUACGGGAUAUUCUGGGUCUGUCGCAUGAUGGGUCUGGGAAAGAUAUUGUUUCGGUGGGGGAUGGGCUCGCGGCCUAUCAGCUUGUUGGUGGGGUGAUGGCCUACCAAGGCGGUGACGGGUAGCCGGCCUGAGAGGGUGGACGGUCACACUGGGACUGAGACACGGCCCAGACUCCUACGGGAGGCAGCAGUGGGGAAUAUUGCACAAUGGGCGCAAGCCUGAUGCAGCGACGCCGCGUGAGGGAUGGAGGCCUUCGGGUUGUGAACCUCUUUCGCCAGUGAAGCAGGCCUGCCUCGUUUGUGGGUGGGUUGACGGUAGCUGGAUAAGAAGCGCCGGCUAACUACGUG
rnacentral:rRNA from 1 species